rnacentral:tRNA from 1 species
CAAAGGUGUAGCUUAAACCAAAGCACUCGGCUUACACCCGAAAGAUUUCAAAAGAUGACCACUUUGA